GAUGAACGCUGGCGGCGUGCCUAAUACAUGCAAGUCGAGCGAACGGACGAGAAGCUUGCUUCUCUGAUGUUAGCGGCGGACGGGUGAGUAACACGUGGAUAACCUACCUAUAAGACUGGGAUAACUUCGGGAAACCGGAGCUAAUACCGGAUAAUAUUUUGAACCGCAUGGUUCAAAAGUGAAAGACGGUCUUGCUGUCACUUAUAGAUGGAUCCGCGCUGCAUUAGCUAGUUGGUAAGGUAACGGCUUACCAAGGCAACGAUGCAUAGCCGACCUGAGAGGGUGAUCGGCCACACUGGAACUGAGACACGGUCCAGACUCCUACGGGAGGCAGCAGUAGGGAAUCUUCCGCAAUGGGCGAAAGCCUGACGGAGCAACGCCGCGUGAGUGAUGAAGGUCUUCGGAUCGUAAAACUCUGUUAUUAGGGAAGAACAUAUGUGUAAGUAACUGUGCACAUCUUGACGGUACCUAAUCAGAAAGCCACGGCUAACUACGUGCCAGCAGCCGCGGUAAUACGUAGGUGGCAAGCGUUAUCCGGAAUUAUUGGGCGUAAAGCGCGCGUAGGCGGUUUUUUAAGUCUGAUGUGAAAGCCCACGGCUCAACCGUGGAGGGUCAUUGGAAACUGGAAAACUUGAGUGCAGAAGAGGAAAGUGGAAUUCCAUGUGUAGCGGUGAAAUGCGCAGAGAUAUGGAGGAACACCAGUGGCGAAGGCGACUUUCUGGUCUGUAACUGACGCUGAUGUGCGAAAGCGUGGGGAUCAAACAGGAUUAGAUACCCUGGUAGUCCACGCCGUAAACGAUGAGUGCUAAGUGUUAGGGGGUUUCCGCCCCUUAGUGCUGCAGCUAACGCAUUAAGCACUCCGCCUGGGGAGUACGACCGCAAGGUUGAAACUCAAAGGAAUUGACGGGGACCCGCACAAGCGGUGGAGCAUGUGGUUUAAUUCGAAGCAACGCGAAGAACCUUACCAAAUCUUGACAUCCUUUGACAACUCUAGAGAUAGAGCUUUCCCCUUCGGGGGACAAAGUGACAGGUGGUGCAUGGUUGUCGUCAGCUCGUGUCGUGAGAUGUUGGGUUAAGUCCCGCAACAAGCGCAACCCUUAAGCUUAGUUGCCAUCAUUAAGUUGGGCACUCUAAGUUGACUGCCGGUGACAAACCGGAGGAAGGUGGGGAUGACGUCAAAUCAUCAUGCCCCUUAUGAUUUGGGCUACACACGUGCUACAAUGGACAAUACAAAGGGCAGCGAAACCGCGAGGUCAAGCAAAUCCCAUAAAGUUGUUCUCAGUUCGGAUUGUAGUCUGCAACUCGACUACAUGAAGCUGGAAUCGCUAGUAAUCGUGGAUCAGCAUGCUACGGUGAAUACGUUCCCGGGUCU
rnacentral:rRNA from 1 species